GGCGGCGGAGCUCGGAGGCGGCCCCAGCCAUCGCAGAGCCCAGAACCAAGAGCAGACUCUCCUGUGGCUCCCUCUGCUCCUGGAGAAGAGGCCAAAGAGGAGCAAAAUGAGCAAAAGGAGCAUGAGCCUCCAGCUGUGGUCACAGCCCAGCCUGACCAUCCCCAGACAGUCCUUCCAGAGAAAGAGCAGGAGCAGAUUGUUUUAUCAGGGAGGCCGUGCCAGACUGAGGGAGAGCUGUUCCCAGCCCAAGAGCAGGAAGAGCAGCUGGGGCAGCAGGUGGAAGAGCCACUGGAGAAUGGCCAGAACAUCAAGGCAGAGCCCCAAGCAGAGCUGCCCGAAGCUUAGAGGACAAUCAUGGCAGUGAAGAGGAG